GGGGGCUCCCCCCGCGGCGAGGCGGGCGGCGGGGAGGUGCCGUGCGGGUCGGUCAGCGCGUCCCCUCCCCGCUGCCGGCGGCCCGGGCCGAGCUCCGAGCUCCCGGCCGCCGCCAUCGGGAAGCCGGGCCGCGCCGCCGCGGCCAUGGCGACGGACGUGAUGCCCACCUGUGUUUGCUGUUCUGUGCUGUCUUUCAAAACUGUGCCCUCAAGGGGAGGUGACCUUUGACAAGGCCCGGACUGACACGAUGUGGACGCGGCCUUUGGAGGACUCCUCCUGUGAACGUGAGUAGAUGGAGCUA
rnacentral:lncRNA from 1 species